UACAGAGGGUGCGAGCGUUAAUCGGAAUUACUGGGCGUAAAGCGUGCGCAGACGGUCAUGUAAGUCGGGUGUGAAAGCCCCGGGCUCAACCUGGGAAUUGCAUUCGAGACUGUGUGGCUAGGGUGCGGAAGAGGGAAGCGGAAUUUCCGGUGUAGCGGUUGAAAUGCGUAGAUAUCGGAAGGAACACCAGUGGCGAAAGCGGACUUCCUGGUCC
rnacentral:rRNA from 1 species